CGAAGGCUCCAAAGGAAGUCACGGCUAACUCUGUGCCAGCAGCCGCGGUAAUACAGAGGUGGCAAGCGUUGUUCAGAAUUAUUGGGCGUAAAGAGCACGUAGGUGGGUUUGUAAGUCAGAUGUGAAAGCCUCCUGCUCAACGGGAGAAUUGCAUCUGAGACUACUGAUCUUGAGUAUAGGAGGGGAGAAUGGAACUUCUGGUGGAGCGGUGAAAUGCGUAGAUACCAGAAGGAACGCCGGCGGCGAAAGCGAUUCUCUGGCCUAUUACUGACACUCAGUGUGCGAAAGCUAGGGGAGCAAACGGGAUUAGAUACCCCGGUAGUCCUAGCCGUAAA
rnacentral:rRNA from 1 species